rnacentral:rRNA from 1 species
CCAGCAAUGCCGCGUGAGUGAAGAAGGCCUUCGGGUUGUAAAGCUCUUUUGUCAGGGAAGAAACGGUGGGAGCUAAUAUCUCCUGCUAAUGACGGUACCUGAAGAAUAAGCACCGGCUAACUACGUGCCAGCAGCCGCGGUAAUACGUAGGGUGCAAGCGUUAAUCGGAAUUACUGGGCGUAAAGCGUGCGCAGGCGGUUUUGUAAGUCUGAUGUGAAAUCCCCGGGCUCAACCUGGGAAUUGCAUUGGAGACUGCAAGGCUAGAAUCUGGCAGAGGGGGGUAGAAUUCCACGUGUAGCAGUGAAAUGCGUAGAUAUGUGGAGGAACACCGAUGGCGAAGGCAGCCCCCUGGGUCAAGAUUGACGCUCAUGCACGAAAGCGUGGGGAGCAAACAGGAUUAGAUACCCUGGUAGUCCACGCCCUAAACGAUGUCUACUAGUUGUCGGGUCUUAAUUGACUUGGUAACGCAGCUAACGCGUG